rnacentral:rRNA from 1 species
CUGCCUGAUGGAGGGGGAUAACUACUGGAAACGGUAGCUAAUACCGCAUAACGUCGCAAGACCAAAGUGGGGGACCUUCGGGCCUCAUGCCAUCAGAUGUGCCCAGAUGGGAUUAGCUAGUAGGUGGGGUAACGGCUCACCUAGGCGACGAUCCCUAGCUGGUCUGAGAGGAUGACCAGCCACACUGGAACUGAGACACGGUCCAGACUCCUACGGGAGGCAGCAGUGGGGAAUAUUGCACAAUGGGCGCAAGCCUGAUGCAGCCAUGCCGCGUGUGUGAAGAAGGCCUUCGGGUUGUAAAGCACUUUCAGCGGGGAGGAAGGCG